CACUAUCGUUAACUGAAUACAUAGGUUAACGAGGCGAACCGGGGGAACUGAAACAUCUAAGUACCCCGAGGAAAAGAAAUCAACCGAGAUUCCCCCAGUAGCGGCGAGCGAACGGGGAGCAGCCCAGAGUCUGAAUCAGCUUGUGUGUUAGUGGAACGGUCUGGAAAGUCCGACGGUACAGGGUGAUAGUCCCGUACACCAAAAUGCACAGGCUGUGAACUCGAAGAGUAGGGCGGGACACGUGGUAUCCUGUCUGAAUAUGGGGGGACCAUCCUCCAAGGCUAAAUACUCCUGACUGACCGAUAGUGAACCAGUACCGUGAGGGAAAGGCGAAAAGAACCCCGGCGAGGGGAGUGAAAAAGAACCUGAAACCGUGUACGUACAAGCAGUGGGAGCACCUUCGGGUGUGACUGCGUACCUUUUGUAUAAUGGGUCAGCGACUUAUAUUCUGUAGCAAGGUUAACCGUAUAGGGGAGCCGCAGGGAAACCGAGUCUUAACUGGGCGUUAAGUUGCAGGGUAUAGACCCGAAACCCGGUGAUCUAGCCAUGGGCAGGUUGAAGGUUGGGUAACACUAACUGGAGGACCGAACCGACUAAUGUUGAAAAAUUAGCGGAUGACUUGUGGCUGGGGGUGAAAGGCCAAUCAAACCGGGAGAUAGCUGGUUCUCCCCGAAAGCUAUUUAGGUAGCGCCUCGUGAAUUCAUCUUCGGGGGUAGAGCACUGUUUCGGCUAGGGGGUCAUCCCGACUUACCAACCCGAUGCAAACUACGAAUACCGAAGAAUGUUAUCACGGGAGACACACGGCGGGUGCUAACGUCCGUCGUGAAGAGGGAAACAACCCAGACCGCCAGCUAAGGUCCCAAAGUCAUGGUUAAGUGGGAAACGAUGUGGGAAGGCACAGACAGCCAGGAUGUUGGCUUAGAAGCAGCCAUCAUUUAAAGAAAGCGUAAUAGCUCACUGGUCGAGUCGGCCUGCGCGGAAGAUGUAACGGGGCUAAACCAUGCACCGAAGCUGCGGCAGCGACACUAUGUGUUGUUGGGUAGGGGAGCGUUCUGUAAGCCUGCGAAGGUGUGCUGUGAGGCAUGCUGGAGGUAUCAGAAGUGCGAAUGCUGACAUAAGUAACGAUAAAGCGGGUGAAAAGCCCGCUCGCCGGAAGACCAAGGGUUCCUGUCCAACGUUAAUCGGGGCAGGGUGAGUCGACCCCUAAGGCGAGGCCGAAAGGCGUAGUCGAUGGGAAACAGGUUAAUAUUCCUGUACUUGGUGUUACUGCGAAGGGGGGACGGAGAAGGCUAUGUUAGCCGGGCGACGGUUGUCCCGGUUUAAGCAUGUAGGCUG
rnacentral:rRNA from 2 species